rnacentral:lncRNA from 1 species
GUGAUUUUUCAAUGAAAUCCAUUGGCUAAAACUGUGCAAUACACCAACUACUCCAUUUACGGAACGAACUUUGUAAGAACUUGAAUUGUCCAAUUUCUUUGGCCAAUCAAUAUCAGACUGAGCCCAAAAUAUGGGCAACGUCAUAGUGUGGGGGGAGGAGUUAAUUGGUGUGUUUUGAGGGAAAUCCAGUCGCUAAAACUACAUUUACAGAACAAACUUUG